rnacentral:lncRNA from 1 species
GUCGGACGUCUCCUAGACCGUCACCGUGGCGUGUUUGUGAGGAAAUGAAAGUGAAAGUGGGAGUUAGCGCUCACUCCGCGCCAUGCCUUCCCAACUGGCUUGUAGCGAGUCUAAGGUGCACGAGGAGAUUCUACAGCUGUUGUCUCAACAUCCUUCUGGACUGAAGGUAUCUGACUUCACUGCAGCCUAUCGGAGAAAGUACUGUGAAGAUCUAGUCCUCUCCAGACAUGGAUUCAAUAAGCUGACAGGUCUUUUCAAAGCCAUGGAGGAUUAUGUGGAUAUUCUGGAGUUAAAUGGAGAUCAAUUUGUCAAGAUUAAGUCGAAGCACAUUCUCCAAGACCAGGUCUCAGCAUCCUGUCACUAUGAGGACCCACGGCAUUCACGAGAAGACUCCCCGGUUACCGCUCUGUCUUGCCAGCACAGCUCACUCUUGGUGAGAAAGACUGCUGAACUCCUAAUAUCUACUAAUAUAUACUUGGAAUUCCUUCACUUCCUUCUGCCCUUUUCACAGAUGGUAGAAAUAGUCAUUGUGCAUGUACUCAG